rnacentral:rRNA from 1 species
CCUACGGGGGGCAGCAGUGGGGAAUAUUGCGCAAUGGGCGAAAGCCUGACGCAGCGACGCCGCGUGAGGGAUGAAGGUCUUCGGAUCGUAAACCUCUGUCAGCAGGGAAGAACGGUCACUGUGCUAAUCAGCAGUGAAUUGACGGUACCUGCAAAGGAAGCACCGGCUAACUCCGUGCCAGCAGCCGCGGUAAUACGGAGGGUGCGAGCGUUAAUCGGAAUUACUGGGCGUAAAGCGCUCGUAGGCGGUAUGUCAAGUCAAGGGUGAAAUCCCCGCGCUCAACGUGGGAACUGCCUUUGAAACUGGCAAACUGGAGUGUGUGAGAGGAUAGUGGAAUUCCAGGUGUAGGAGUGAAAUCCGUAGAUAUCUGACGGAACAUCAGUGGCGAAGGCGACUAUCUGGAACAUAACUGACGCUGAGGAGCGAAAGCGUGGGUAGCAAACAGGAUUAGAUACCCUGGUAGUC